AUGAUUUAUCCAGAGACAUGUGUUUGAUUAUGUCUAUAGUUUACUGCACAUAGUACGAUGGCUGCAUAUUAAAAAGCUACCUGUUUGAUUUUUCGAAAAUUGAUAUAUAUGUCACCGUUAGCGAGAUCAAUACAGUAACUAUCAAAAUAUUGAUACCAGCUAAAGUCAAGGAAUGGUCGAUAUCACUGCUUACGGACUAUCAAUCCCCGAGAGUAUCUUCAACUCAUAAAAAGAUCUGGAGAUUAUGGACCAGAUAGGCGAAAAAAUAAACAACUGGCAGCUACCAGUUUUUGCUUUGGGUCCACAUGAACAGGAUUUGGAUGCAUUGAUACGUGAAAGCUGAUUUUCGAGUAGUAUGAAUAUAAACGACACAGAGGGGAAGAAACACUGCGAAACAACCGAUGAAAUAUUGAGGUGGGUAAUGAAAAACGUCAAGAAAUUUGCAAAUGAAGAUUUUGAAAGACUUAUUAUCAAGGACGACUUAAUCCGAUUUUGUAGUUCGAGGGAUGGGUUGAAGGUCAACGAUGCUUUAGAGUUUGAUUGAAUACUUCUAUUUGAUAUAAGUGGAAUGAUAGUAUCGAAAGAGUUGGCAAGAUAUUAUUCCUCUGAGGAAAUUCUUGGCAUGAUGAAACUUUGUGUCAUUAAUGCUGAAUAUCUUAUUAGAAGAUUUCCUGGGAUAGAAAAGACCGAAAUAUUUAAAAAGUUUGCAAAUGGAGAGUACUUCUUAAACACAAAAAAAUUGUAGGAGAAAGUUUUCAAAUCUAUAAUUGACAAAACGCGAAAAGUGAUUAAUGACAAAUUAUAUGAUAAACACAGUUCUUAUUUUCUUUGUCGUACUGCAAAAAAAAACCUCCUACAUUCGAUAUCAUCAUAACGCUUAACAAAGAGAAAGACAUAUCUGAUCUUCGUGACGACAUCAAAUUGGUACAAGGUGUGCAUGUGGCAAUAGAGUCCGAUAAAAAACCAAGCCUUGAUAUUGAUUUUGUCCCAGCAUUUCAUUUACGGAAUGAUCGUGUUCCCAACCCAUAUACUGAAAUAUUACCCCAUGGAUUUAGAAUUGAACAAAUGAACUGUCAAGUUUAUGCUGUAAUGAAGUGGGCACAUCGCAGCACAAAAGCCUCAUCAACGUUUGACAGUGCUUGUUUAUGAAGAGAAUGUACGUCUGGAUAUGAAAAACAUAUUCUUGAUGUUUGUAGACAAAAUAACAGCAAAUAGAUAUAGGAAGAUGUGGUAUGAGUACCAAUGAGACAACUCUCCAUCCAAGUCACAAUUUAUAAAAGUAAACCAUUAUAGGUCAAGGUACGGUCUUCAACACGGAGCCUAGGCUCACAUCGAGCAGCAAGCUAUAAAGGGCCCCAAAAAUUACUAGUGUAAAACCAUUCAAACGGAAAAACCAACGGUCUAAUCUAUACAAAAACGAAAACACUUAUGAACCACAUAAACAGACUACAACCACUGAACAUCAGAUUCCUGACCUAGGACAGGUGCAAACAAUUGCAAAAGCUUCCUUAUGACUGCUUGUUGUUUGCUGAAAUCGUAUGU